rnacentral:rRNA from 1 species
AGAGUUUGAUCCUGGCUCAGGAUGAACGCUAGCGACAGGCUUAACACAUGCAAGUCGAGGGGCAUCAUGAGGUAGCAAUACCUUGAUGGCGACCGGCGCACGGGUGAGUAACGCGUAUGCAACCUGCCCGAUACCGGGGUAUAGCCCAUGGAAACGUGGAUUAACACCCCAUAGUACUUUUAUCCUGCAUGGGAUGUGAGUUAAAUGUUCAAGGUAUCGGAUGGGCAUGCGUCCUAUUAGUUAGUUGGCGGGGUAACAGCCCACCAAGACGAUGAUAGGUAGGGGUUCUGAGAGGAAGGUCCCCCACAUUGGAACUGAGACACGGUCCAAACUCCUACGGGAGGCAGCAGUGAGGAAUAUUGGUCAAUGGACGAGAGUCUGAACCAGCCAAGUCGCGUGAGGGAAGACUGCCCUAUGGGUUGUAAACCUCUUUUAUAAGGGAAGAAUAAGUUCUACGUGUAGAAUGAUGCCUGUACCUUAUGAAUAAGCAUCGGCUAACUCCGUGCCAGCAGCCGCGGUAAUACGGAGGAUGCGAGCGUUAUCCGGAUUUAUUGGGUUUAAAGGGUGCGUAGGCGGUUUAUUAAGUUAGUGGUUAAAUAUUUGAGCUAAACUCAAUUGUGCCAUUAAUACUGGUAAACUGGAGUACAGACGAGGUAGGCGGAAUAAGUUAAGUAGCGGUGAAAUGCAUAGAUAUAACUUAGAACUCCGAUAGCGAAGGCAGCUUACCAGACUGUAACUGACGCUGAUGCACGAGAGCGUGGGUAGCGAACAGGAUUAGAUACCCUGGUAGUCCACGCCGUAAACGAUGCUCACUGGUUCUGUGCGAUAUAUUGUACGGGAUUAAGCGAAAGUAUUAAGUGAGCCACCUGGGGAGUACGUCGGCAACGAUGAAACUCAAAGGAAUUGACGGGGGCCCGCACAAGCGGAGGAACAUGUGGUUUAAUUCGAUGAUACGCGAGGAACCUUACCCGGGCUUGAAAGUUAGCGACGAUUCUUGAAAGAGGAUUUCCCUUCGGGGCGCGAAACUAGGUGCUGCAUGGUUGUCGUCAGCUCGUGCCGUGAGGUGUCGGGUUAAGUCCCAUAACGAGCGCAACCCCUACCGUUAGUUGCCAUCAGGUCAAGCUGGGCACUCUGGCGGGACUGCCGGUGUAAGCCGAGAGGAAGGUGGGGAUGACGUCAAAUCAGCACGGCCCUUACGUCCGGGGCUACACA